GGAGUUAGCCGGUGCUUCUUCUGUGAGUGAUGUCCUUCCUGCCGGCUAUUAACCCGCAGGCCUUCUUCCUCACUGAAAGUGCUUUACAACCCGAAGGCCUUCUUCACACACGCGGCAUGGCUGGAUCAGGGUUGCCCCCAUUGUCCAAUAUUCCCCACUGCUGCCUCCCGUAGGAGUCUGGGCCGUGUCUCAGUCCCAGUGUGGCUGAUCAUCCUCUCAGACCAGCUACGGAUCGUCGCCUUGGUGAGCCGUUACCUCACCAACCAGCUAAUCCGACAUAGGCUCAUCCGAUAGCGCGAGGCCCGAAGGUCCCCCGNUUUCCCCCGUAGGGCGUAUGCGGUAUUAGCCUGGGUUUCCCCAGGUUAUCCCCCACUACCGGGCAGAUUCCUAUGCAUUACUCACCCGUCCGCCGCUCGCCACCAGGGAGCAAGCUCCCCGUGCUGCCGCUCGACUUGCAUGUGUUAGGCCUGCCGCCACGCGUCAUCUGAGCAGAUACAACUACUGA
rnacentral:rRNA from 1 species